UUGCCGCGAAAACUAAAACGUUUUGCGUAUAAAUGAACUUAAGCUUUGCGACUUAUUUUCCUUGCCUUACCUAGCCACAGGUCAAUGACGCGCCAGAUACAUGCGUCAUCCGCCAGACACUCCCCCGAAGCCAGCGAGGAUGGCUGCGCGCGCGUUUGAGCGCUCGCGCGCGGCGACCCGUCUGUCUCCUUCUUUUUUCUUUUUUAAAUGUAACCUGGUUUAUUGAGCUCUCGGCGUAUUCUUGCGUUCCUUCUGCACUGGGACAAGACACCACUGCACUAUUGGACUACUGCAAGCUGGUGCCGUCCGGUGGAGCUUCAUACAGGAACUACUGCCUUACCUGCUGGUGUCACAACGUUGGAUGAACGCACAAAAAGCGCGGAACGAGCUUUUAUAUAGAGCAAAAUAAAUAUUUCCUCAUUGCACAAAA